GAUGAACGCUGGCGGCGUGCCUAAUACAUGCAAGUCGAGCGAACAGACGAGGAGCUUGCUCCUCUGACGUUAGCGGCGGACGGGUGAGUAACACGUGGAUAACCUACCUAUAAGACUGGGAUAACUUCGGGAAACCGGAGCUAAUACCGGAUAAUAUAUUGAACCGCAUGGUUCAAUAGUGAAAGACGGUUUUGCUGUCACUUAUAGAUGGAUCCGCGCCGCAUUAGCUAGUUGGUAAGGUAACGGCUUACCAAGGCAACGAUGCGUAGCCGACCUGAGAGGGUGAUCGACCACACUGGAACUGAGACACGGUCCAGACGCCUACGGGGGGCAGCAGUAGGGAAUCUUCCGCAAUGGGCGAAAGCCUGACGGAGCAACGACGCGUGAGUGAUGAAGGUCUUCGGAUCGUAAAGCUCUGUUAUUGGGGAAGAACAAAUGUGUAAGUAACUAUGCACGUCUUGACGGUACCUAAUCAGAAAGCCACGGCUAACUACGUG
rnacentral:rRNA from 1 species